UUUUUACAGUUAUUUACUGUAUAUCACCCAGUAUUAUACUGUAAACUAUUUAUACAGUACAUAACUGUAAUUCGCGUUGCAUUUUGGGAAUUUUCUGUGACAUCAUACAUCAUAUACAGUAUUUUACUGUAUUUUUGAAAAUUGCUGUAUGCUACUGUAUAUUUUCUAACAGUCUUUUGGCGGUAUUUUCCUUAUUCACACAAAAUCCUUAUUUUAUUUUUCUCAAAAUCAUCAUUUUUGACAAUUGUAUACACACAGGCGUUGACUUAUUUUAGCUAAGGAACCAUGUAGCAGCACAGGUGUUCAGAGGACCGAUUUCAGGUGUGCACAUAAACAGAAGAGUUUUCAAACAAGACUUUCCCUGGGACAGCACAGCGGCGCUUUUCAGUUGAAGAUACACGAGAGGAGAGAAUGAAAAAAGACCAGCAAGGAUAAAUUAAGGAGGAUGAAACAAAAAACACUGCAAGAACUGGAAUGAGAGACAAGUGAGGAUGAAGAGGACAACAGAAUAUCCAUCCUUUCUUCACCACCUCACAGAGUUUGAGUGAAACAACUUGUAUUAGGACUCACAGGAUUAUUUUAUACCAAGACUGAUUAUUUUAUACCAGAAGUUUGGUAUUUUUUUGAAGCUACUGUAUUAUGACAAUUCAUUUUGAUGUGCAUUCAGAACUGUAAGUUGGUAAGUACAUUUACUGUAUUUACUGUAAGUAAAGGCUAAAGAGUAUAUCUCCUCUAGUUCUAAGUUCUAGUUCUAAGUUCUAACAACGUUCCCAAAGGUCCCAAUAAUGUUAAGCCAACAUAAAAGUGUCCCGUUUUUAAA